AGAACGAACGCUGGCGGCGUGGAUAAGACAUGCAAGUCGAGCGCUGAUUAAGGGGUAGCAAUAUCUCUUGAUUGGAGCGGCGCAAGGGUGCGUAACACGUGGGUAAUUUGCCAUGAAGUUGGGGAUAACUUGCUGAAAGGCGAGCUAAUACCGAAUGUGGCCCGAGGAAGGCAUCUUUCUUUGGCUAAAGCUGGGGACCGCAAGGCCUGACGCUUCAUGAUGAACCCGCGGCCUAUCAGCUAGUUGGCGGGGUAACGGCCCACCAAGGCUAAGACGGGUAGCUGGUCUGAGAGGACGACCAGCCACACUGGAACUGAGACACGGUCCAGACACCUACGGGUGGCAGCAGUCGAGAAUUUUUUCAC
rnacentral:rRNA from 1 species